GGAGGUGCAGGCAGCGCUCUGCCGGUGCUGAAUCAGCGCUGACCUGGCGGCAGAGAGCCUCGCAAACUGCUCACAGUGAUGCUGAGGAUGCAGCAGGCUAGAACACCUUGUCGCUGAAUAAGAACAGUGAGGCGAGGGGGAAACGUGGCCGGAAGAGUCGGAGGAAAAAGGAGCGCGGUGUAUCUUCCCUCACUCGUCCUGUUCCGCUCGGGACUCGCCUUGUCAAUCGAUUUGAAUUCUGGCACUUAAUCGUCCUGUGUUUGUACUUUGUCUUCUCAACUCCACAGAAGAAUCUUUUGUUGUGAUUUCUUCUGCUCCUCAUUAUUCUCUCUCCCUUAAAAUAUACCAUUUUUAAUUUUC